UACGAAGGGGGCUAGCGUUGCUCGGAAUCACUGGGCGUAAAGGGUGCGUAGGCGGGUCUUUAAGUCAAGGGGGAAAUCCUGGAGCUCAACUCCAGAACUGCCUUUGAUACUGAGGAUCUUGAGUUCGGGAGAGGUGAGUGGAACUGCGAGUGUAGAGGUGAAAUUCGUAGAUAUUCGCAAGAACACCAGUGGCGAAGGCGGCUCACUGGCCCGAUACUGACGCUGAGGCACGAAAGCGUGGGGAGCAAACAGG
rnacentral:rRNA from 1 species